GACGAACGCUGGCGGCGUGCUUAACACAUGCAAGUCGAGCGGCAAGGCCCUUUCGGGGGUACACGAGCGGCGAACGGGUGAGUAACACGUGGGUGACCUGCCCUCAGCUCUGGGAUAAGCCUGGGAAACUGGGUCUAAUACCGGAUAUGACUUCACAUCGCAUGGUGUGUUGUGGAAAGUUUUUUCGGCUGGGGAUGGGCCCGCGGCCUAUCAGCUUGUUGGUGGGGUGAUGGCCUACCAAGGCGACGACGGGUAGCCGGCCUGAGAGGGCGACCGGCCACACUGGGACUGAGACACGGCCCAGACUCCUACGGGAGGCAGCAGUGGGGAAUAUUGCGCAAUGGGCGGAAGCCUGACGCAGCGACGCCGCGUGGGGAUGACGGCCU
rnacentral:rRNA from 1 species